UACAGAGGAGCCAAGCGUUGUCCGGAUUGACUGGGCGUAAAGCGCACGCAGGCGGAUGCGCGCGUGGGGUGUGAAAUCUGGCCGCUUAACGGCCAGGCGCCAUCCCAUACGGCGCGUCUGGAGUGAUGCAGAGGUCGGUGGAAUUGCCGGUGUAGUGGUGAAAUGCGUAGAGAUCGGCAGGAACACCCAGGGGGGAAACCAGCCGACUGGGCAUCUACUGACGCUGAGGUGCGAGAGCGUGGGGAGCGAACCGGG
rnacentral:rRNA from 1 species